UAAUAAAUUGAGUCAAUAGUAUUACAUUAUUUUUAAAAUUGAGUAUAUUACAGUUCAUUGUAUCAGGCAAUGAUGACGAAAAUAUGGAAUUAAACAAGGAUAAAUCCAAUAAAACAUCUCAGCAACAAAAUUAACUCAAACAUAGACGUCACUAUUCACAGGCCUGAAUAUCUAGACAGAAGGAAACAAAUUAACCGUAUCAAAGAGGCAACAUUGUGAUUCUGUACAGAGAGUUCAAAAACAAAGAAAAUAAGGUCAAAGUAUUGGAAAGAAUAUCUUUAGCAAUGAUUCUAGACAACGAGAAACACAUUAAGACACCAUCUCAAAGUAUUUGCAUUUGCAUUAGCAUUCAUUAUAAAGUUGUGAAAAAACAGGGAAAAUAGGACAAAGUAUCAAAAAGGAACAUAUUUAUCAUCAAAAAUAGACAUUAGCAUUUGCAUUCUAGAAUUCUCGAUAAAAGAAAACAUUUUUCGCACAAUCAUUCAAUGAAGUAGCAUAGAAAUUCACUAGUAAGAAUUCAAAAACGGACAAAAUAGAAUAAGGUAUCAAAAAGUUCAUCUUUACCAAAAUAUAGUAACUCAAAAAUAGACCUUGGAUUCACAUCAAUACCUAGAAUUCCAAAAACAGAGAAUUUGUAGUUCAGUUGUGGUUGUUACAGUUUUGCUGGCAUCCUCAUUUCCUGUUCAAAAGCUAAUAAUUCACAAAUAAAUUUAGAGAAACUAUUUCAGAAUAAUGUUUGCCAAGCCAGAUCUAGGAAUUAACUUAAAAUGUUUUCAGUCUUUUAAACAUUCCUCAAUAAUUUGGGUUCAAUGACCCAAAUGAGGGCAACAACAACAACCUAGUAAUAAUCCCACUAGUACAGAAAGGUAGAGUGUACACACACCUUACCCCUACCCUUACCCCUGAGGGUAGAGAGGCCGUUUCCGGGAGACCCUCGGCUCAAAGACAAAAUAUGCAACCAUCCACAGAAAACAGACAAAUAGUAUUAGCACAGUAAGCGACAACAAAUAAGUGUAAGGACAAUAAUAAUAGUAAUAAUAAAAAUUAAAAAUAAAAGUGUGAUAGAACAAAAACCGCUAGCAGCCCUAUACAAAACACUAUCAAACUAGCAUAUAACCAAAUUUGAGGACUAAAUGACACUUCUUUUAGAAAUUGGGAUUUUUCCAGAUUUAUGGAGAAGGCCAUGAGAAAAUGCUAGACAAAACAUAAAAAAUUUAAAAGGACAUAAUACGAGCGGAUUGAUUGGAAAAGGAAUUCAAAGUUUAACAGAAAUGAGGCUCCAAUUUGUCCAAAAACCAUCAGAAAUUGGGCAAGGCCGCCAUGGCUACAAAAGACAGAUGGCUUAUUGUAAGAGAAAAUAAAACCAACUCACAAAUGCAACUGAACUUUGUCAAGCCAAGAUACGUAUCAACUGAAACAGAAAUAGAGCAACCAGCCUUAGGAACUCCUUCAUUUUCCAGAGUCUAAAACCUCAUUCUUUUAACAAAAUUAAGGCAAUGUAGUUGGCUCAGAUUCGCCUUUUCUCAGACAGACCAAAAAUCUUUGAAAAAACAGCCAUAGCUGCAAGCAUCAGUUAGUCUUGUGAGACACAGAAGAAAAACCAAAAAGAUGGAAUUUUUUCAAAUAUCUCAAAGACACAUCUGAGCUGCCACACCAAGAUACAGUUUUUUUCACCUCAUUAGAAAGAUACAUCUGAUAAUCUUCAUAGCCUCAUUGCACAUAAAAUGAAGCAGAGGGAGUUACUAGAAACGGAAAAGAGGGAGGUCAACUGAAAUUUCACCAAAAGGGUGGUUUUGCAAUUGGAAAAUUUUUCAUUUGACAUAUCAACGGCAGCAGAAAGGAUGCGAUCAUACUAGCACUAACGCACCGGAUCCCAUCAGAACUCCGAAGUUAAGCAUGCUUGGGCGAGAGUAGUACUAGGAUGGACGACAUCCUGGGAAGUCCUCGUGUUGCAUCCCUCUUUUCCCCACGGUGUGGAAUAAAUAGUCAAAACUACCCAUAAAAACUCCCCACAGCUCUCUGCUUUCACCAGUCUCAGACGGAAAAAGACAGGGUCAAAACCACCCAUAAAAACUCCCCACAGCUCUCUGUUUUCACCAGUCUUAGACUUAAACUAAUAAGACUAUCACCCAUUUUGUGUCUCCUUUUUGAGGCUCGGAUCUGUGUUAUAACUCAAGCAAAAAGAGUCCGACGCCAUGGCUGCAAAUACCACCAAGGGAAACCUGAACCAUGCCCCGCCAAAAUACGGGUCACAUAAUCUCAAAUGCCUGAUUAAUAAGAUAUUUACAAAAUCCUCGUCGCCGCUUUCAAGCCGUCAAUCAUACCACGACUGGCAUAGCUUGUAUUUAAACCAAAUAGACUGAUAACAGCUCGUUUGGAUGGUUGUUACCAUCGCAUUGUAUUGUAUUGUUAUUUCAGAUAGGUAGAAUACAUAGACAGCCCCUCAAACUUGUCAUGAAUUGUCAUUGAGACGCGUUAACUCGACAGAUGCAAAAAGAGAUCCGAAGACGCCAUGGCUGCAUAAACUGCCAGAAAUCUGGGGGCAUGCCCUGCCAAGAUACGGUCCGGAUAAUCUCAAAUUCUAAUUUUUGUGGUGGCAGAGGUUCGAUAUAUCUCAACAACGCAUCAUGGAAAAGAUUCUGUUUUUGUACUUUCAAGCAAUGUGUGUUAUGAUAAGGCAAAAGAGAAACCAACAACGUCAUGGUCAUCAAUACUGUAAAAGAACACAGAGGAAAGACAGAGAUGUCAGUAUACAACAACAACAAAAAAAAACCAGUAUAAUCUCACCAAUAGGGUCAGGGGAGGACUGUGAGUACGCAGCCUUAACCCUAAAGAGUCUGUUUCCAAUUAGAUAUGUCAUAACUUAAAUCAUUUCUGCUGCUUCUGCUUUUGUCAUAAAGACAAGCAAGGGCUGUUGGGUUUUUUAAUAAUGGAAGAAAAUCAAUGGUGAAACAGAGAGGGGCAACCACCCUUUCAAAUGAAACCCCAAACUCUCUGUUUUUGCCUCAUUUCUUUAAUUCUUCUGGGCUAACCUUUACCCUUCUCAUAAUUGCAUACUUGUGAGGUCUCAAAAAAUAAGGGUUAGUUUCUUAAAGCUGACAAGCUGAUUCUGGAAGCACGGCCAAUCAGGCUAUUACAAUAUAAGCUGAAUUUAGAAGCUCGGCCAAACAAGCUAUUACACGGGCCUUUUCGCGAGGGCUCAGAUUUGCUAUAUUUUUUGUCAAAGCAAAUGAGAAGGCGACACUACCGCUGCUGCAGACACCAGUUUGCUAUACAAAAGCCAUAUCCAGAAUCGUCUUGCCAAGAUACAGGUCGGAUAUUUUUUCAAUGCCACGAAUUGAUAUAGCCCAGAAAUGAAAAGCAAAAACCACAGCCCCUUUAUAUGCAUCAGUAUUCAGUAGCAGCAACACAAAGAGAUGAGGAAGAGGAAGAGCAAUAUAUUAAGGGUCUGAUUGGCUGUUUUUUUUUGGGGGGGGGGNNNNNNNNNNNNNNNNNNNNNNNNNNNNNNNNNNNNNNNNNNNNNNNNNNNNNNNNNNNNNNNNGGGGGGGGGGGGUGUUAAUUCGAAGGGCUGUUGAUUUACAAUAUAGAAAUCGUAGGCAUAACAGAGAGGGGAAAUCAACCUUUUUAUAUUGCUCCUCUUUGUUUGCCUCGUUCUUCUCCUUUUCUAAGACAAAAACCCAAAAACCUUUGGAAAAAGACCGUCACGGCUGCUGCAAGCAUCAGUUAGUCUUAUGAAUCAGGAAAAAACACACACAAAAAUGGAUUUUUCUCAAAUACCUCAAAGACCCAUCUGAGCUGCCACGCCAAAAUUACAGCUUUUUCCCAGCUCAAUAGAUGUACAAGUCUGAUUCAUCUUCCACAGAAGAAUAAAAUCUUCAUAGCCUCAUUGCGUCACAUAAAAUGAAAAGGAGGGAGUAAUAAGUAUUUUCACCAAAAUGGUGGUUUUGAAAACGGACAUUUGAGCGAUCAUCGGCGGCGGACAAUAACAGAGAGGGGGAAAACCACCCAAUGAAACUCCCUACAGCUCUCUGCUUGACCGCAGCCUCAGACUAACAAACGAGUUUUUCGCUAUUUUCCUGAUAAUCCAAGGGCAGCACGGUGCACAAGACAACCUGCAUUCGCGAGGGUGCACUCAAGAUUUGUGAUGUAGACGGAUACCUUAAUGCAAGCAUCAGUAGCUGUGAAUACUUUCACAACUCGAACUCGUGACCGAUAGGUCACACAAGGAGAACUUUACUUUUUUGUUAAUCACAAUCCAAUUGUAAGUGAGACAGAAAUCUCAAUCACAGGCUAUACCGGGUUGCCACACCAAGAUAUGGAUCCGGUCAUCUCAAUGCCCAAAUUGGUUAGCCUAGAUACAAGAAACAUCAUCAUCACUGCCUCUUUAUGUAACUUCCAUCAGCAACAUAAACACGCACACAAAAAAAAAAGAAUUAAAUACAGAUUUCACUGGGAAAAAAUUACUUCUCAGGAAUUUUACAUUUCUUAUGUCCAAACUUUGUCUGCUUCUGCUUUUGUCAUAAAUAACGGCUGUUUUUUUCUUGAAAACGGAGGAAUAUCAACGGCGGAACAGAGAGGGGCAAUCACCCUUCUAAUGAAAAUCUCAAUACUCUCUGUUUUUGCAUAUUUAGGGGAAUUUCUCGUGGGUUUUUCGCCUGCGAAUUUCACCAUUUAACAGAUGCAAAAAGAGAUCCGAAGAUGCCAUGGCUGCAUAAACCAACAGAAAUUUGGGGGCCUGCCCCGCCAAGAUACGGUCCGGAUAAUCUCAAAUUUUAAUUUUUACAACUACAUCGGAAACAACCUCUCUAUCUUCACAAGGGUAGGGUUUGUUAAGGUCUGCGCACACACUACCCUUCCCAAUCUCCACUUGUGGGAUUUCACUAGGUAUAUUGCUGUUGUUGUAAUAGAAAGAUAUCUAAUUCAUACUCCACAUAAAAAAAAACCUUGAUAGCCUCAUCACACAUAAAAUGAAACCUAGGGAGUAACAAGAAAAGGAAACUAGCAAGGUCAUACGUAUUUUCACCAAAAGGGUGGUUUUGUAAUUGGAAAAGUAUUUCAUUGGAGUGACCAUUGGCAGCGCCAAAUGACAGAGGCGCAAAACCAACCACUGAAACUCCCCACAGCUCUCUUUAAUCACCGUUGCCUCAGACUUAAGCAAAUGAUAUUUGCAAAUAACUUACGCAACAAAAUAUAAAUAGUGAUCUCAAAGCAUCCUAUUUGUGCAAAUCGUCACUGCUUCGGUCCAACCGGGUAGAUCCAAUUACGGUUUUGAGGCUCAGAUCUGCGUUAUAAGUCGAGCAAAAGUUAAUCCGACAACGCCAUGGCUGCAAAAAACCACCAGAAGGGGGCAUGCCCUGCCAAGAUACGAGUCAAAUCAUCUCAAAUGCCCAAUUGCUAAGCUCAGAAGGGAAUAGAAGAUUGACAAAAAAACAUCACCGCCUCUUUGAAGCAGUCAAUCAUACACAACAAGUUAAAUACUUUGAAAAAACUGGAUAUACCUUAAAUAGCAAGGUGAAAACUGGCCAUUCCAUGAAUUUUUUACAGGGUUGUUGGAAUUGUUACAGUAAUGGAGAAAUCAUUGGCUAAUACAGAGACAGGCAACCACCCUUUCACAAAAAACCCUAAAUUCUCCGAAGCCUCAUUCUCGUUCUCCUGAGCUUUCGUUUUGUUACAUCUCCAUAACAGUUCUUUUUAUACUAUCCUGAAAGCUGUAAAUAUAAAUUAUUUCUUGUAUAUAUUUCUCUUUCUUUCUUUAGGAAAGAGGAGUGAGUCAUUAGUGAAAGCUUUCGGGUAAGCUCAGAUUAAUGGGGCAAAACCAAGGAGAAGAGUGAAAACCAAAAUCCAAACUCAAGUAAUGGGGUAGGCUCAGAUUCGCCUUUCCUCAGACAGAAACCAAAAGAGCUUUGGUAAAACUGCCAUGAGAGGAGUGAGUCAUUAGUCAAAGCUUUCGGGUAAGCUCAGAUUAAUGGGGCAAAACCAAGGAGAAGAGUGAAAACCAAAAUCCAAACUCAAGUAAUGGGGUAGGCUCAGAUUCGCCUUUCCUCAGACAGAAACCAAAAGAGCUUUGGUAAAACUGCCAUGGCUGCAAGCAUCAGUUAGCCUUACAAGACACAAAAGAAGGCACCAAAAAGUGGAAUAUUUUCCAAUAUCUCACAGACCCAUCUGAGCUGCCAUGCCAAGUUACAAUUUUUUUCCAGCUCAAUAGAAAUAUGUCGACUCAUCUUUCACAGAAGAACAAAAUCAUCAUAGCCUAUUUGCAUCACAUAAAACAGAAGGCGUAACAAGAAAGGAAAAUAAAGAGGUUAUAUUUAUUCUCACCAAAAGGCUGGUUUUGGAAUGGGAAAUUCAUUUGAGUGAUCAUCGGAAUCAGAGAAUGACAGAGGGACAAAACCAUCAAUUGAAACUCCCCACAGCCCUCUGCUUUCACAGCAGCCUCAGACUUAAACUAAUGAGAUUUUGUUAUUUUCAUAUGAGGCUCACAUCUCACUAUGAUAAGGCAUUGAGUUUCUCAAAACCGCCAUGGCUGCAAUCUCCUCCGGAUUGCCCAGCCAAGAUACGAGUUUAAUACCAUCUCAAUGCAAAUCAAUAAUGCCAUUUGCCAAGAAUCAUACCAUCACUGCCUCAAAAUGUUCACUUUUACCUUUAUGUUUAGUAUGAUCCGCGCUGUUUGGGUGUUAACACAGCCACAUAGCAGAGAGAACAAAAGAACGGUAGCAGCAACAACAACAGCAGAUCAACAACAACAUGCAUAUCUCGAAGCUAGAUUUACCGAAAAAAAUAAGCACUGUUAAUUGCUUCUAGCGAGAAAUCAUGGGCUUAACAGCAAAACUGAACGAAUGCAUAAAUAAAUAAAUAAAUAAAUCCUAUUUCUCAUUGAUGCCUCAUUCUAUGAGAUGACUUUCUCUAUGUUUGGGCAUUGAGGGAUCAGAUUUACUGUAUUUGAACAAAGCAAAAGAGAAGGCGACGCCGCCAUAGCUGCAGACACCAGUUUGCUAUGUAAAAGACAUAGUGGUUCGCCUUACCAAGAUACGGGUAGAGUAUCUUCUCAAUGCCAUGCCCAGAACAAUAACUGCCUCUUUUUGAGAAAAUGUUGACUCUUUCAUACAUUUCAUGUAAGUAUGGAAGUUUUGGACUAAGCUCAUACUAAGAAUCCAGUAAUGCCUACCGCAAAGGCGCCAGAUGUUUGCUUUCUUGGUUUUCUUUUAGGAAAGAGGGUUGUUGGUUUUAUUAAAGAAGAAAUCAUAGGCCAAACAGAGGGCCCAACCACCAUCCUAGAACUCCCUCUUACCCCUGUUGGCCUCAUUCUUCCUUCUGGUAAAGUAGAGAUGAUAAUAACAAAGAUUUUGAGGCUCGCUCCAUCUCAGGCACCACCAUGGCUGCAAAUCCGGUUAUGGGCUGCCCCGCGAAGAUACGGCCUAUCAACUCCUGAUUCCAUGAAGCUCGGAAAAAAAUCAAUCAUCCUGUUAUGGGCUGCCCCGCGAAAAUACGGCCUAUUAACUCCUGAUUCCAAGAAGCUCGGAAAAAAAUCAAUCAUCACAGCCCCGUUAUCCAUAUUUUUUGUUGUGUAGCUUUUCAAAAUACAAUGAGAACAACCAUCCAAUCAGGGUGUUAGUGUUAGUGUGCAGACAGAUAAAUGCAUAUCGAUCCAGAGGCGGAUUCAGGAUUCCAAUAUCGAAUCAUGGAAAAGAUAAUUUUUUUUGUACUUUCAAGCAAAUGGGACUCAGAUAUGUGUUAUGAUAAGGCAAAAGAGAAACCAACAACGACAUGGCUGCAAAACACCGGUUGCAUGUGUGAUAAGAUUCAAAACUCUCAAUCACAGGCCAUACCGGGUUGCCACGUCAACAUAGGGGUCGGCUCAUCUCAAUGCAUGAAAAUGGCACCGGCUAACCAGUUUUGAGAAUGAUAAUUGAAAAAUAACCUGCGUUUGCAAGGUCCUUAAAAUUAGUCACUAUUUUGCUGCAACGUGAAAAGUUAAAGCAUAAUAUACUGAAGCACUAUUGGAACUCCAAUACACGGAAAGUCCCACUAUAAUAUUCAACAUGGAAAAUUUUUCAGGUUUUGAAUAUUAUUUUCGUUCAGAUUUAUCUUACAUGAAACCUCCACUUCCAACCGAGAGGUUGUGAGUUUGAGCAAGGUGGGAAGUUCUUGGAGGGAAGGAUGCCGGGGUCUAUUUGGAAACAGCCUCUAGGGGUAAGGUCUGCGUACACACUACCCUCCCCAGACCCCACUAAGUGGGAUUAUACUGGGUUGUUGUUGUUAUCUUUACAUGAAAAGUGCUCAAAUUUUGAUUACUUUUGAAACUUUGGCUAUUUUAAAUUACCACUUAUAAAUCCGCCUAUUUUUGAAUUUCACCCCCUCAAUGCCCAAAUCGGUUAGUCGAGAUAUAGAAACAUUAUCAUCACUGCCACUUUAUGUACCUUCCAAUCUUCCAUCAACACUGUAAAAGACCACACAGGCAAAUGCGGGUUCAAUAUAUCCCAACAAUGAAUCAUGGAAAAGAUUCUGUUUUUCUACUUUCAAGCAAAUGCGGCUCAAAUGUUUCUUAUGAUAAGGCAAAAGAGAAACCAACAACGCCAUGGCAGCAAAACACCAGUUGCAUGUGUGAGAGAAGAUUCUCCACACAGGCAAUCCUGGGUUGCCACGCCAAGAUCCGGUCGGCUCAUCUCAAUGACCAAAUCGGUUAGACCAGACAUCAUAAUCCUGGGUUGCCAGGCCAAGAUCCGGUCGGCUCAUCUCAGUGACCAAAUCGGUUAGACCAGACAUCAUCACUGCUACUUUAUGCUCCUUCCAUUAAUACUGUAAAAGUACACAGAGGAAAGACAGAUGUCAGUAUACAACAACAACAACCAAAAAACCACUAUAAUCUCACAAGUGGGAUAUGAGUAAGACGGUGAGUACCCAGCCCUAAACCUAUAUUGUGCAGGUAAAGAGGUUGUUUCCAAACAGAGAUGUCACUAUAUAUAACUUAAAUCAUUUCUCCUGCUUCUGCUUUUGUCAUAAAGACAUAAACAAGGGCUGUUGGUUCUUUUUUAUAACAAAAAUAAUGGAGGAAAAUCAGUGGUGAAGCAGAGGGGCAACCACCCUUUCAAAGAAAAUCCCAAACUCUCUGUUUUUGCCUCAUUUCUUUAAAUUCUUCUAGGCUAACCUUUUCCCUUUUCACAAUUAAAGACUUGUGAGGUCUCAAAAAACAAGGGUUAGUUUCUUAAAUCUAAUUAGCUGAUUUUAGAAGCACGACCAAACAAGCUAUUACAAAAUGAGCUAAUUUUAGAAGCACGGCCAAACAAGCUAUUACAAAAUGAGUUGAUAUUAGAAGCACGGCCAAACAAGUUAUUACACGAACCUUUCCGUGAGGGCUCAGAUUUGUUGUAUUUUUUGUCAAAGCAAAAGAGAAGGCGACGCCGCUAUGGCUGCAAACAACAGUUUGCUAUACAAAAGCCGUACCGGGUCGCCCCGCCAAGAUACGGGUCGGAUAUUUUCUCAAUGCCAUGAAUUGCACAUAGCCGGAAAGGAAAAAGCAAUCAUCACAGCCCUGUUACAACAUUCGUGUUCAGUAGCAGCAGCACAAAGAGAGGAGGAAAAAGAAGAGGAAUAUAUAUAUUAGGGGUGUGUCUGGAUGAUUUUUUUUGUUCGUUCUUUUGUUUAAUUGAAAGGGCUGUUGAUUUUUAAGGGAGAAAUCACAGGCAUAACAGAGAGGGGCAACCACCCUUUUUACAGAAAAUCCCAAUCUCUCUAUGUUGCCUCAUUCUUCUUCAUUUCUAAGGCUAUGCUCAAAGCUAUUUUCUGGUUGAAGCGUCUGCAUAAAUAGGGCAAAACUUUUUGGGGAGGUGGAAUCAAGGGUAUAUUGGUCAAUGGAUAUACAAUUUUUUAGGAACGGUUAAGGGUCAGAUUUGCCCUUGUACUAUUCAAAAUAAGCUAUAUUUACCCUCCGUUUAAAUCAAGGCAAUGUAGUAGGCUCAGAUUCGCCUUUUCUCAGACAAAAACCAAAAAGCUUUGAAAAAGCAGACAUAGCUGCAAGUAUCAGUUAGUCUUGUGAGACACCGAAGAAAAACCAAAAAGAUGGAAUUUUUCCAAAUAUCUGAAAGAUCUAUCUGAGCUGCCAUGCCAAGAUACAGAUUUUCCAGCUCAUUAGAAUGAUACAUCUGAUUCAUCUUCCACAGAAGAACAAGAUCUUCAUAGCCUCGUUGCACAUAAAAUUAAGCGGAAGGAGUUACUAGAAGUGGAAACGAGGGAGGUCAACUGAAAUUUCACAAAAAGGGUGGUUUUGCAAUUGGAAAUUUUUUCAUUUGAGAGAUCAUUGGCAGCAGAAAUAUGCAGGGGCAAAACCACCCACAGCUCUCUGCUUUCACCACAGCCUUAGACUUAAACUAAUAAGAUUGUCACCAUUUUUGUGUUUCCAUUUUGAGGCUCAGAUCCGUGUUCUAACUCAAGCAAAAAGAGUCCGACACCGCCAUGGCUGCAAAUACCACGAAGGGAAACCUGAAGCAUGCCCCGCCAAAAUGCGGGUCAGAUAAUCUCAAAUACGGUUAAACAGGUUAUUAGAAAAUAACCUGUUUUGUUUUUGUUUUUCCUAGCCGAGGGUCGAUUGGAAGCAGCCUCUCUGCCCUUUCGGGUAGGGGUAAGGCUCGUCUACAUAUUACCCUCCCCAGACCCCACUUUGUGGGACUAUACUGGGUAGUCGUUGUUGUUGUAGUUUAUUAGAAAAUAAGCUUUUUUAGAAGCACGGCUAAACAGGCAACUACAUGGGCCUUUUUGUGAGGGCUCAGGUUUGCUAUAAUUUUUGCCAAAGCAAAUGAGAAGGCGAUGCUGCCAUAGCUGCAGACACCAAUUUGCUAUACAAAAGCGGUAACGGACGAUCUGCCAACCCCUUUUUACAGAAAAUCCCAAUCACUCUGUUGCCUCAUUCUUCUCCUUUUCUCAGACAAAUACCACCGUCGUGGCUGCAAGCAUCAGUUAGUCUUAUGAAACAGGAAAACACACACACAGAAAUGGAUUUUUUCUCCAAUAUCUCAAAGACCCAUCUGAGUUGCCACACCGAGAUUACAAUUUUUUCCCAGCUCAAUAAAUUUAUAAGUCUGAUUAAGAAUAAAAUCUUCAUAGCCUCAUAGCAUCACAUAAGUUGAAAGGGAGAUCGUAAUACAUAUUUUCACCAAAAGGGUGGUUCUAAAAACAGACAUAUCAUCGGCGAGGGACAAUCACAGAGAGGGGCAAAACCACCCAAUGAAACUCCCUACAGCUCUCUGCCUAGACCGCAGCCUCGGACUUAAACUAAUGAGUUUUUUGUCAUGUUAAUCCAAUGGCAGCCCGGUGCACAAGGUAUCCCGCUUUCACACAGGGUCCGGGGAAGGACCACAUCCAAGAUGUGUGAUAUAAACAAUAUACCCUAAUGCAAGUAUUAGGGGCUGCUUUCACGGCUCGAACCUGAAGACAACUUUACCAUUGCUCCGAGGCUCCCCUCCCUAUUUUCCCGUUAAUCCAAAUCACAGAAAAGAUUAUCUUUUUUUUUCUCUUUUCGGCAAAUGGGGUUCAGAUGUGUUAUGAUAAGGCAAAGAGAAGCCCGCUACGCGAUGGCUGCAAAACACCAAUUGCAAGUGAGAGACAGAAAUCUCAAUCACAAGCCAUACCAGGUUGCCAAGCCAAGAGGGGUUGGGUCAUCUCUAUGCCCAAAUCGGUUGGCCCACAUACAAGAAACAUCAUCAUCAAGGCCCCUUCAUGUAACUCCCAUCAGCAACAUAAACACACACACACACACACACACAAAGUAAACACAGAUUUCACUGUAAAAAAAUUACUUCUUCCUGAAUUUCACAAUUUUUAUGUCCAAACGUCCACGUAAAUCCUGUAUGCUUCUGCUUUUGUCACAUGCAAGGGCUGUUGGUUUUUUUUUUUAAAAUGGAGGAAAAUCAAUGGCGGAACAGAGAGGGGCAACCACCCUUCUAAUGAAAAUCCCAAUACCCUCUGUUUUGCCUCAUUUCUUUCUGGGCAAACCUUUUUGCAUUUUUAGGGGAAUUUCUCGUGGGUUUUUCACCUGCGAAUUUCAAAAUUUAACGGAAAAGAACCUGUAAGUUUGCACUUAAGAAAAUAACCUUCCAAUUGAGGCUCAGAUCUGUAAUAUGGAAGACAAGGUAAGAGACUGGAGAUGCCGCCACAGCUGCAAACACUGGUUGCAAUCUGUCACUGUCCGGGUUGCCCUGCCAAGUUACGGGUCCGAUUGCUCUCUUGCCCUAAUCAAUUUGCUCAGAGACAAGAAAAAAUCAUCAUCAUAGCCUCAGAUUUUUGCUAUAAUUAUUUUUAUUAUUAGAAAGCGAGCCUUGGAGUAACUGAUAAAGUUGCUGCCAUGUGACCAGGAGGUUCGAGCCGUGGAAACAACCUCUUGCAGAAAUGCAGGGUAAGGUUGCGUACAAUAAACUCUUGUGGUCUGGCCCUUCGCUGGACCCCGUACAUAGAGGGAGCUUAGUGCACAGGGCUGCACUUUUUUAAAAAAAAUUAUUAUUACUACUUCUUGAUUUUUGACAAGAGGGGUUGCUCUGAUGGUAAGCAACCCCCACUUCCAACCGAGAGGUUGUGANNNNNNNNNNNNNNNNNNNNNNNNNNNNNNNNNNNNNNNNNNNNNNNNNNNNNNNNNNNNNNNNNNNNNNNNNNNNNNNNNNNNNNNNNNNNNNNNNNNNNNNNNNNNNNNNNNNNNNNNNNNNNNNNNNAGUUCUUGGAGGGAAGGAUGCCGGGGGUCUAUUUGGAAACAGCCUCUCUACCCGAGGGUAGGGGUAAGGUCUGUGUAAACACUACCCUCCCCAGACCCCACUAAGUGGGAUUAUACUGGGUUGUUGUUGUACUUCUCUUUUUGGGAGUGAGGAUUUGGAGAUACAGUAGAGAGGUCAUUUGGAUACAGUUUACUGCAGAAGGGCAUUUUUGGCAAAAAAUGAAAUCACAGGUAUUGUAGAGAGGAGCAGCUGCCCUUAAGCUUCCUUAUACUCUCUGCAACUCUCAUUCAUUAUAUGAGCUUUUAGUUUUCUGCUUUGUGUCAAAAGAGAACUAUUUAGAGGAUCGAUAUUUCUUACUUUGCCCUCUGAUACACACUUAUUUACAACCCUUUAAAGACAAUCCCAUCUGUUUUGUCCCACUUCUUUAAGCCACCCUAGAAGUAGUAUUAAACAUCUCAGCAUGUUUCAUCCAGCCAAUGGGGUAGGCUCAGAUUCACCUUUUCUCAGACAACCCCAAAAAGCUUUGGAAAAAGACCACCAUGGCUGCAAGCAUCAGUUAGCCUUAGGAGAAAUACACACACAAAAAUGUAUAAUUCUCCAAUAUCUCAAAGACCCAUCUGAGCUGCCACGCCAAGAUUACAAUUGUUUCCUGUUUCAGUAGAUUUAUGUCUGAUUGAUCUUCAACAUAAGAACAAAAUCUUCAUAGCCUCAUCGCGUCGCAUAAAUUGAAACAGGGGAGUAAUACAUAUUUUCACCAAACGAGUAGUUUUGCAAUCGUACAAUUGGGUGAACAUUGACGGCAGAGAAUUGACAGAGAGCAGAAAAACCACCCAAUGAAACUCCUUACAGCUCUUUGCCUUCACCGCAACCUUAGACUUAAACUAAUGAGUUUAAUCCAAGGGCAACCGAGUGCACAAGGCAUCCCACGUUCACCCAGGAUCCGACAAAGGGCAACACUCAAGGAAUGUGAUGUAAACAGGAUACCUUAAUCAAGCUUUAGUGGCUACUUUCACGGCUCGAAAUCAUGACCUAUAGGUCACACGAAUACUAACUUUAACGUUGCUAUUUUCCUUCCUAUUAUCCUGUUGAUCCAAAUCAUAGAAAAGAUUAUCUUUUUUCUUCUUUUCAGCAACUGGGGCUCAGAUGUGUUAUGAUAAGGCAAAGAGAAGCCAGCAAUGCCAUAGCUGCAAAACACCAGUUGCAAGUGAGAGACAGAAAUCUCAAUCACAGGUCAUACUGCGUUGCCACGCCAAGAUACGGGUCGGCUCGUCUCUAUACCCAAAUCGGUUAGCCCAGAUAAAAGAAACAUCAUCAUCACUGCCUCUUUAUGUAACUUCCAUCAGCAACAUAAACACACAAAAAAAAAGUAAAUUCAGAUUUUGCUGGAGAUCUUUUUUACUUUUUUCCGGAAUUUUACAAUUCUUAUGUCCAAACGUUGUCUGUUCUGCUUUUCUCAUAAACACGGGCUGUUGGUUUUUUUUUUUUUGGAAAAUCAAUGGCGGAACAGAGAGGGGCAACCACCCUUCUAAUGAAAAUCCCAAUACUCUCUGUUUUGCCUCAUUUUUCUGGGCUAACCUUUUUGCAUUGGAAAUUCUCGUGCAUUUUUCAACUGCGAAUUUCAAAAUUCAACAGAAGAGAGCCCAUUUUUUUGAUAAGGAAAAAGCGGGUAUAGAUGCAAAUGAAAACAGAAAAGAGCCCAUAAAUCUGCAUUUACGAAAAUACCUUUCCAAUUGAGGCUCAGAUCUGUAAUAUUGAAGAUAAGGCAAGAGAUUGGAGACACCGCCAUGGCUGCAAACACCGAUUGCAAGUCGUCACCGUACGUGUCGCCCCACCAAGAUACGGGUCCGAUUGUUCUCCUGCCCUAAUCAAUUUGCUCAGAGACAGAAGAACAAAUUAUCAUCACAACAUCAAAUUUUUGCUACAAUUAAUAUUAUUAUAACUAUUAUUCUCUUUUCCGGAGUGAGGAUUCGGAGAUACAGUAGAGUGGUCGUUUGGACAUAGUUUACUGCAGAAGGGCAUUUUUGGCAAAAAUGAAGUCAUAGGUAUUGUAGAGAGAAGCAGCUGCCCUUUGAGCUUCCCUCUACUCUCUGCAACCCUCAUUCACUAUCUCUCACCUUUUGGUUUUCUGCUCUGUGUCAAAGAGAACUAUUUAAAGUGUCAACAAUUCUUGUUUUGCUCACUGACGUACAACUUGAUUCCAUGCUUAGGAGCAAAAAGUAGUUCAAAUUCAAAGAAGAAUAAGUUUUAGAUGUUUCUAUUUCACAGUAUUUACGAGGCUCAGACAUGCAAAGAGAGAUCCCGCAAAAGAGAGUCGACUGCGACAUGGCUGCAAAAUCACCGGUUGCAUCAAAGAAAAAGCCUCCAAAUCGUCAACUAACCGUCGGUGAUUUGCCAAGCCAAGUUACAGGUCAUAUAGUCUCUAUGACCGACCCAGUUAGCCCAGAGUUAGCCCAGAAUCUGGAUAAAAUAUCAUCACUGCAUCAAUUGUUAUGUAUCAAAAAAGAGGAACUAAAAUCACAGAAUCAGAGACAGAGAAAAGAGAGAUCCGGCCGUUGUUGUUGAUUGAUGCUGAAGAAUUAAGAAAAUAACUUUCCAAUUGAGGCUCAUAAGCCUGCAUUUAAGAAAAUAACUUUCCAAUUGAGGCUCAGAUCUGUAAUAUUUGAAGAUAAAGCAAGAGAUUGGAGACACCACCAUGGCCGCAAAUACCCGCAACAAGACAUCACCAUCCGGGUUGCCCCGCCAAGACACAGGUCCGAUUGUUCUCUUGCCCUAAUCGAUUUGCUCAGAGACAGAAGAAAAAAUAUCAUCACAGCCUCAGAUUUUUGCUACAAUUAUUAUUAUUAUUACUCUUGAUUCUCUUUUUGGAGUCAGGAUUUGGAGAUGAUUAGCAGAGACCAAUAAUAGCCAAUCGAAAUACUUAAGGGGUCGUUUGGUUAGAGUAUAAUGCAGAAGGGCAUUCGGCAAAAAUGAAAUCACAGGAAUUGUAGAGAGGAGCAGCUUUGAUGGUAAGCAACCUCACUUCCAACCGAGAGGUUGUGAGUUCGUGGCAAAAAUGAAAUCACAGGAAUUGUAGGAAUUGUAGAGAGGAGCAGCUCUGAUGGUAAGCAACCCCACUUCCAACCGAGAGGUUGUGAGUUUAAGUCUCCCCAGGAGCAAGGUGGGAAGUUAUUGGAGGGAAAGAUGCCGGGGGUCUAUUUGGAAACAGCCUCUCUACCCCAGGGUAGGGAUAAGUUCUGCGUACACACUACCCUCCCCAGACCCCACUAAAUGGGAUUAUACCGAGUUGUUGUUGUUGUAGAGAGGAGCAGCUGCCCUUGAGCUUCACUCUACUCUCUGCAACCCUCAUUCUUUGUCCCUGAGCUUUGAGCUUUUACUUUUCUGCUUUGUGUGAAAGAAAACCAUUUAAAGCAUUGAUAAUCUUGUCUUGCCUUCUGGUGUGUGUGUUUACAUAAACGACUGACUGGAUUAUUGUUGAUUUUUUCUUUCAAAGGAGAUACAAAAGUUUUUAUCCUCUACAAUCUUCUUCUAGAGAUUAUUAUGCUUAGCUAAGACUUAUCCCUUCAUUUUCUUUGAUUGAUUUUAUUCAAAAAGUUACCAAUAUCUUUUGAGUCAAACAGGCUUAUCAUGAAUGUGUUAUGAUAAGGCAAAGAGAAGUCAGUUGCGCUAUGGCUGCAAAACACCAAUUGCAAGUGAGAGACAGAAAUCUCAAUCACAUGCCAUACCGAGUUGCCAAGCCAAGAGGGAUUGGGUCAUCUCAAUGCCCAAAUCGGUUAGCCCAUAUACAAGAAACAUCAUCAUCACUGCCUCUUUAUGUAACUUCCGUCAGCAACAUGAACACACACACAAAGAAACAAAAAGUAAAAAUACAGAUUUCACUGGAAUUUUUUUUAACUUCUUUCCGGAAUUUUAAAAUUCUUAUGUCCAAACGCUGUCUGCUUCUGCUUUUGUCAUAAACAAGGGCUGUUGGUUUAUUUUGAAAAUGGAGGAAAAUCAAUGGAGGAACAGAGAGGGGCAACCACCCUUCUAAUGAAAAUUCCAAUACUCUCUGUUCUGCCACAUUUCUUUCUGGCUAACCUUUUUACAUUUUUAGGGGAAAUUCUCGAGGGUUUUGCACCAGCGAAUUUCAAUAUUUAAUGGAAAAGAGCUCUUAAGAUCAAGAAAAUAACCUUCCAAUUGAGGCUCAGAUCUGUCAUAUUUGAAGAUAAGGCAAGAGACUGGAGACACCGCCAUGGCUGCAAACACCGGUUGCAAGUCGUCACCGUCCGGGUCGCCCCGCCAAGAUACGAGUCCAAUUGUUCUCCUGUCCUAAUAAUUUUGCUCAGAGACAGAAGAAAAAACUAUCAUCACAGCCUCAGAAUUUUGCUACAAUUAUUAUUAUUACUACUAUUGAUUCUCACUUUGGGAGUGAGGAUUUGAGAUACAGUAGAGUGGUCGUUUGGACAUAGUUUACUACAGAAGGGCAUUUUUGGCAAAAAUGAAAUCAUAGGUAUUGUAGAGAGGAGCAGCUGCCCUUUGAGCCUCUCUCUACAUUCACUGACUCUGAGAUUCUGGCUUUCUGCUCUGUGUCAAAGAGAACUAUUUAAAGCAUGAACAAUUCUUAUUUUGCCCACUGACGUACAACUUGAUUCCAUGCAUAGGAGCAAAAAAAUAGUUAAAAUUCAAAGAAAAAGAAGUUUUAGGUCAAUUUCGCAGUACGUAACUAAGAGGCUCAGAUAUGCAAAGAGAGGCGACCGCGCCAUUGCUGCAAAAUCACCGGGUCCGGUUGCAUGCAAAGAAAAAGCCUCCGAAUCGGUAGCUAACCGUCCGGUGAUUUGCCAGGCCAAGUUACGGGUCGGAUAGUCGCUAUGCCCGAUCCAGUUAGCCCAGAAUCCGGAUAAAAUAUCAUCACUGCCUCAAUUGUCAGGAACUAAUCACAGAAACAAAGAUAGAGAAAGAGAAAUCUGGCUGUUUUUGAUUGAUGCUGGAGAACAGGAACUAAAAUCACAUAAACAAAGAUAGAGAAAGGGAAAUCUGGCUGUUUUUGAUUGAUGCUGGAGAAAUGACUGUAUGUAUUUCCAUUAAUUCAAGGGCUGUUGAUUCUCUUUUAAAGGUGGAAAAAGGAAAAUCAUUGGCUAAACAGAGAGGGGCAACCACCCUUUGAAUAAAAAUCCAAGCUCUCUAUUUUUGCCUCAUUUUUUUUCUGGGCUAAACUUUCUUUGCUGGGAAAUCCUUUGGUGAAUUCCACCUUUCACUCUAUGUGUUCUCUUGUGAUAAGCAUACACUCUUGCUUGGAAGAAUCUAGAAGGAAAUUUAUUUAAAGUGAUUGCUUUGGUGUUUGGAACUUUGGAUCAAACUUUAAGGUUAAUGUCGGAAGACUUCGUAACAAUGAACAGCACGUGGGUCCUAAGUACGGUUAUAGAUUUUUCCCAAAAUAAAUUUAAAUUUUAUUUCAUAUUUCACCAUAGAUUUUACUUAUAUUUUUACAAAAUCCCAAAUUUUAAAUUGCGGACCCAAAAUAUUACUAUUAUAUCUUUUAAAAAUUUCAGGAUUAAAAUUAGUACCGAGAUAACUUAUGCCUUGUAAGGGAUGUGGUAAUUAGUAUCGGAAUAAUUUAUACCGUCUUCUUAGAAAUCAUGCAAUUGUUAUUUUUAAUACAACAUACCAAACAAUAGAUAAAAAACAGUAAUAGCAUAACUAAUCCCGGCAUAACUUAUUUCAAUAAAACUUAUUCCAACAUAAGCCGUAUUCAAACCAAAUGACCACAUACAAUUUAAAUAUUAUUUUUAUACUAACCACGAACUUUAAUAAGUGACAGCUAAUAGUAAUGAUUAUUUUAGGACUGCUUUGGUAUAAGGGAUUAAAAAAUAAUUAAUCUCAGAAAUAAAUCUAAGAAGAAUUUAUACCAUGUUUGGGUGGGAGAAUAGUUCAAUAUUAUUAAUUUUGGAAUUAUAAUAAUUUUUUAAUCAUAUGAAAAGGUGGUAAAACUAAUCCCAAAAUAAAUUAAUAGAAGAUAUUUUGAUUUCGAAAGUCAAAUAAAUUAGUCUUUCACUGUAAUCUUUUCGUAUGACUUUUUAAUGUACUGAAUUAUUAAUUAAUGUGACUUAUACCUUUUUUUAAUAUAGUUUUCAAAUAUGUAAUUUGGUAAACUAAAAGCGAAAGUAUCAUGUAAAUUAAGGCACAUGGAGUAAUAUUUAUCAACAUCUUACUUAUAAUUACUACUCCUAAAUAGUAAUUUGAUUCUUGUAAAUACUUUUUACAUCUUUAAUGCAUAGAUUUUCUUUAGGUAAUUUUUCAGGUAGCGUUUCACUAGGGAUAGAUGUUUUUACUUAUUCGUAGGUCAUUUUUUUGGUCAAUUUGAUAGAAUAUAUUAUAAAUAUUCACCUUACAAAUCAAGGUAAAUUAACACCCUUUACCCGUCUACCAUACGCUAAGAAUAAAACCAACAAAUAAAGUUGACUAGAAAAUUAUAGGAGGCAGCUUAAUGCAUGAAAUAUCCGCGUUUACUCAAUAUAUGAAAAAGAAUUGUAUCCUAAGGGUGUAAUGCAAAUAAAUUUGUAGAUUAAGUGGAUACAAACUUUACUAUUGAACACAAUACCAUAGGAUAAUGAAAUUAAAGUAAGACAUGUCAGUUAAACGAUGCAUUCAACUAUAACUGGUGGUUUAAAACUUAGAACCGGUGAUGUAAUAUAUUUAUUUUAAAUGCGUAAUAUAUAUAAAAUGGGACAAGAACUAUAAUUUUUUAGAUCAGGGGGCAUCUCUAAAGACCUAUCCAUCCUUUUAAUAAAAAAGUUGAUAUACUUGAGUGAAAUUUUUUGUGGAAUAUAUAUAUAUAUAUAUAUAUAUAAGGAUUUUUUUCCCUUUGGAAACUUUUGAGUUUCUUUCAUUUGAUUUCUUCUUUAUGAUUACAAAGAUUUCAAAUACCUUAGCACGAAAUAAAAUGCAGUAAUAAGGUUUUCUGGAUGUUGAAACAAGGCACGUUCUCAAUGUGACUUUGUUUGAAACAAAUGAGGAUUAGUAAUCACAAUUUAAUAUUAUUUUAUCGCUCGAUUGUAUCUAGAGAGCAAAAUAUGACUCCACACGUUAUGCAAUAAAUAUCGCCCCGAUCGAUUACAUGGCAUUUCUUUAUAUUUAUCAAUCAAAUUGAUACUUGAAAUGAUAAACCCUCCAAUCCUCCAUGAUUGCAUUGAAUUUAAUUUUUUAUUUUUGGUUUUUCUGUUUCUUGUUUGCAUACCAACGUUGCUUGAUUAGGGUGGCUUCCACAAGUAUUAUCUGACUCGAAAGUGGCUGAAAUAAUUCAAAAAUUACCGUGGAGGUAGAGAUUUGAUCAAUUGUGGUCAUGUGGCUGGUGUUGCACAUGCUUUCCGAGCCUCAACUACCCACGUUUGACUGCUGCAUCAUAUCCUAAAGCCAAUCAGUGGUUCAAAGAAACUUUAAAAUAAAAUUGUCAAUAACUACUUCAAAAUUGUUGUUGUUGUUGUUGUUGUUGUUGUUGUUGUUGUUGUUGUUGUUGUACUUCAAAAUUGCUACGUAAAAAUCAUUUCAUAGUUUUGAUCUGGAGUACUUAUUGUUUCUUAUGUACUUUUAAUUUUGACGAUAUUUAUCGUGCACUUUAUCUACCGUCACGAUUUUUUUAACGGUGAAGCAUGUUAUGGCUUAAUAUUUAAGGCCAUAGGUCUAUGUAAUUUGAGAAAGAAUCAGUCACAAAAGAAAUUCCCAAAUAGCAAUAGCUAGAUCAAAUCAUGCCCAUUGAAUAGGCACUUGUAUUAGUGUCACCAACCAUCUUCACAUACGUUGGAGCAUAAUUAGCCCUCGACAAGGUAAGGAGAAACCCGAAUUUAAACUAGAUGAGUGCAUAUUUUUAGCUUGAAACCUAUUAUAUUUUAAGACUAGAGGUUCAGACUCAUUACCUAAUUAUAUAAGGUUGCAUCCGCCUUUGAGGCAAGGAAUAUAGUGGACUUGACGAAUCUACAGGUGAACAAUUAAGGUAAGAGUGACGAUUGUUGAGUUUUGAUACACGAAAAAUAAAAUGUAUUUGAAUCUCAUAAAGAAGCAGUAAUGUAUCGAAAACUUGCAUAAAAACUUUAUCAAAGCAAUAAAAAGAAUAAUUAGCAGAAACGCAAGUUUGAUGGCUUUAUAAAAUAUUUGGUACACAAACCUAAGCCACUUGAAUUGACAUCCAAACUCUUUUUCCAUGACUCAUAUGAGGAUGUUAUUAACUGACAACAUCUUCGUAUUUAUGAGUAACACGAACACACACAAAAAUACAGAGUGUUUGCUACUUGUGAACCUAAUUGAGGUACUUUGGCUAUUUAAGAAAAAGGUACAAAAUUCAUCUUCAUAAUUGUUGUAUUGGACUCAACCUAGAAAAAUGGUACUUCAACAACGAUGGUCAAAAUUGUCGAUGAGAGUAAUUAAAAGACCAUGAUAUAUGAACCAUCGUGAUACAACUAAAGUAUAAAAUAUAGUUCAACCACAAUGAAUACAAAACAAUCACAAAACAAUUCACAUGAAGAAAGAUGGAUAUUACCGAAUAAAGGAGGUAAAUUUACAAAUGAUCUGGACCUAACUUUCGUAUAUAUUGUAGUUCCAGAAAUCUCUUGUCAAUGGCACAAGCGGAUUAUGAUUUUGAUAUGUCUGCAGAGAGAUAUAAUUAUUUAGUCAGUGCACACUAACAGAAAUUUAUAACUAAGUAAAAAAGAAUAUGUUUAUAAAUAUACAAAUAGUUUGGACUUGAUUAUUGUAUAUAUUGUGGUUCUAGAAGUCCUUUGUAACGACACAUCAUAUAGAAAUGAUUAUUUUUAGUCAUAACGCUCAAAGAUAUGAAAAGUAGAAUACCAAAAAUUCAUAACUGAAUUCAAAAGCAUAGUUGUAUUAAAUGACAAAAAAUUUGGACCUCAACUUUUUAUAUAUUGUAGUUCCUUAAGUCCUCUUUUUAAUGGCACAAGCAGAACAUGGUUUCAACGUCUUUGUAGAGAGAUAAUUUUUUUAGUAUGGCCGUACAAAGCUGGAAAAAGCAUAAUGAUAGAGAUUCACAACUGAGUUCAAAAGGAUAUAUGUUUAAAUAUAUAAAUAAUAGACCUGAAUUUUAUUAUAUAUGGUAGUUAAGUCUUGUUUUCAAUGACAUAAGUGAAUUGGGAUUUUGAUGUGUCUGUAGAAAGGUUUGACUUUUUUGGUGAGGAUGCACAAAGUUGUGAAAAGUAUAAUAUGAGAAUACCAUAACUAAAUUCAAAGGUAUAUACGUAUAAAUCUACAAAAAACCUUUUUUGUAUAUAUUGUGAUUCUAGAAGUUCUCUUCAAUGAUACCAGCGGAUUGUGGUAUCGAUGUAUUUGUAGAAAUAUAUUAUUAUUUUGCUCAAUACAUGUUGUUUCCAUUAAAGUUUAUAAUUCAUGAGUUUGUAGACCGAAUUACUUUAGAAAAAGAAGGAUCAGGGAGAAGGAAAUGCAAAGAACGGAGAAUAGGUGCAUACCUAUUCAAUCUGAACCUUUGAAAAUAGAAACAUCAAUACUAAAUUAAGAAGUCUAAACAUAAUAAAAACUCCCUCAGGUAUAUGAACAUAUAGUUGAAUACUUCUCCAAAAAAAAAUUGCAUAGUUCUUCUAAAGUUGAGCGUGGUGCUUGCAUAACAAACUUGCUUGGUCAGUGUGGCUUCUGCAAGUAUUACAACCGACUUAGAAGUACUUGAAGUAAUUCAAAAAUGACUGUUACCGCAGAGAUUUGAUCACUUAUGGUGUUGCGCAUGGUAUUGGAACUCAUUUAUGAGCCUCAACUGCUUUUAUUUGACUAUCGCUUCAUAUCCUCAAGCCAAUCAGUAGUUUACAUAAAACUUUAAAAUGAUAAUUGUCAAUCAUCGAUUUAGAUUAACUUUAAAUUUCUUUUAAAGGCUCAAACCCAUUUAAACUUUGAUAGACCAUGAGAGUAAAUAAUUUUUUACUCGAUAGUGAAUGCUACCUUUAUGACACGAGAAAAAUGGUUGAACCACAUUUGACAAGCGUUGUGCCUUAAAGUGAGAAUGAUAUUGGUAUUCACUUCAUUCCAAAGAAGAAGCAGAUUGGUAAGCAUUCGAGGACCAUAAGGCAGUUUACUUCCAAUUGGGAUAGAGAAAAGUUAUGCAUAAAAGAUUUACCACUAAGAAAUCUUGCUAUUAUUGAUUCAACUAUAAAAUAUCAGUUUUCCUUUGUCAUCUUAAGUCAAUGCCUAAAAAAAUCUGAAUGUGAAGUUCAUAUUAGUUGUUCCAUGACAAAAAUAUUAGCUGUUCUCAGAAUCAACAAAACUAUCGACAUGCUUUUUCAAUAACACACCAAGAUGGUGCCACAGCUAUGUAAGAAAUAAAAGAGUAACUGAGUACUCCAACCGAGAGGUUGUGAGUUCGAGUCUUCCCAAAAGCAAGGUGGGAAGUUCUUGGAGGGAAUGAUGCCGGGGGUCUAUUUGGAAAUAACCUCUCUAUCCAAGGGUAGGGGUAAGGUCUGUGUAGUGUGUACACACUACCCUCCCCAAACCCCAUUAAGUGGGAUUAUACUGGGUUGUUGUUGUACUUCUCUUUUUGGGAGUGAGGAUUUGGAGAUACAGUAGAGAGGUCAUUUUGUUGUUGUUGAGUACCAUAUAUGUAAUUCAUGCAAGAAGAUUAGCUCCCGAGAAAGAGCUCACUAAUGAGUUUAAUGUUGUGGAGGCUAGUGUGUGGAAUGUUGUUUCUCCGAAAAAAUGUUCAUAAGCUCCUAUUUUCUAUAUUUAUGCUGCCUUGUCAUAUUCUCAACGUCGAGACAUUAAUUUUAGGGUGCUAUAAGGGUGAACAAAUAAUUUCUAGGUUCCGCUCAACUCUCCCUUAGAGCCUGUGGAAAAUAUGUGUAUCAUUGCCAGUGGAACCUGGCAACAUCAUAUUAUUCGAUGGGAAAAAGCUUUGAGUUUUUCAACAGAUUGUUUCAAUGCCUAUUGUGAUAGCGCUACAAUUUAACAAAUUUUAUUUUAGCAUAUAUUUGGUAUUCAACUACAAAAAAUAAAAGAGUAAGCAAGUAAACAUUAUGAAAGCACUAACUUUUACCAUAGAAAAUAAAAGAAAUGCAUCUUUCUGGUGAAAACACACACUAUCAAAUAGAAUUCCAAGACACAUUCCCUGUCAAACAGUCCAACCAAAAAAUCUAACUUUCCAACGGUUAUAAAUUGCAACAACAGAGAAGGUACACUAACUUCCUCAAUUAAUUCAAUCAUGGAUAUAGCGGUAAUUCAAAGGAUAAAUUUUUUUCAAUAUGUAAAUAAGUCGUUAAAUUUUAAGGCUAGUACACUAUUCCUUCAUCAUUCCCUCUUAAGCAAGGUACUGUUUUCAACAUUCUCUAAAAGUCAAAUUGCUGAUUUUUCUUCUCUGGUUGCCUCCAAUAGGUACCACCUAGGGGUGUACAUGCACCGGGUUGGUUCGAUUUUUAUCAAAACUAAAUCAAACCAACUAUAUUUAUUUGAAUUGAUUCAAUUUUGUCGGUUUUUUGAAAUUUUUUUGUUACAUGAAUAUUAGCUCAAUCUUACUUAGUUAAAAUUAUAGAUAAAGCUUUGAUAAGUGAAUAUAUGUUUAGUAAAUAUGAAAAAAUUGACAAACAUAUGAUCUAUUAAAAUAUUCUAAUGGGGAGAAUUUUUUUUAGUAACGCAUGAUAGUUAUUUUCUUAGUCGUCUAACAAUAAUUUUUCGUUAAUUUACACGUUCAAGGUUAAUACAUGAGAGGAUCCCAAAUAUUUCUAGAUUUUCUAAAUAAAAAUCACUAUAAAGUCUUAAAAAUAUAAAUAAAAAUUAUAUAAUUAUAUAUUGGUUUGGUUCAAACUUUUUUACUCAAUACCAAACCAAGUCAAACCAAACCUAAUUGGAUUUUUUAAUCGGUUCGAUUCGAUUUUUCGGUUUGGUGCGAUUUUCCGAUUCGGUUUGAACACCCGUAGUAUCACCUAUCCAUUUUGAGAACAUUUUUAGUUUCUAUGCUCGCACACUGCCUAAUAAGCUUAUUUUUGGAGAAAUCUAGGACAUGACUGAAGGCAACAUAGAGGUGUUUGAAUUGUUUGGCCGGUACCUUCUAAUCACAUUAUAGGUUUUUGACUAAUAAAAGAGUACACAACCUAAAGGGAAUUAUUGUUAAAUAGUUUUUGGUACAACAAAAUAUUCAGACACUACCGCAUAUGUAUCGAUAUGACAAACUAAGUUCAAUUAGCUUGAUUUGAUCGCACAACGACUUAGAUGUAUGUGCUAUUUAUUGUAACAGAUGUGCGUAGAACAACUAUUAGCUUUAAAUAACACUUGAAUUAAUAUAACAUAAAAUAGUUCAUUCACUUACAAGGACUUCACUAAUUUGUCAAUUAUUUUAACCUGACAAACACCCUUAACUAACUCAUCAAAAAUAAAGAAACUUCACCGAGUGUUGGAGCCAGCCUCUCAGACAAACUACUCCAUGAAUACGCACAUAGAAAUUAAAAAGUUUAAUUUAGCUUUGCAAAUUAAAAAACCAAAACAUAGAAGCAAUGAUACAUAAAUCCGCACAUAUGCAAAUUACAAAAUAAAGUCAGUAAAACGAAUUAUAAGACAAUAACAAAUUUUAAUAUCUUUUUAUCUCGUAUAACCAAUUCAAUCUAGAAAAUAGCGUUUGAAAUGUAACGAUCCGAUACCACCCACAAACAAAUAACCCCAACUUUCAACUUCCCUUUCAUCUUCGAAACUAUUAUAUCCUUAAUUGUAUCAAUGUGAUUAACCAUAUCUUGCAGGAACCGUAUGUUUUAUUGAAUUUUAUUUUAUUUAGCAGUCAAUUUGGAACAGUUCCAUAUGGUUUCGUGAGUCUCAGUCGAGCGUGACUUUCAAUCGUAUGGUUGAGCGAUUUCAUGGUUGUCCACUUUCCUUAGCGUAGGUUUUGCGUAGAAAAUUUAGGGAAAGUGAAGUUCUAAUUGUGCAAUUUUUAAAUAAUAAUGUGAAUCAGUUUUCUUUUAGAUAGGUAAAAAGCAAACAAUGUAUGUUUGACAAUCAGUUAAUUUUCUUAUUAAAAAUAUCUAGAAUUUUGAAUUAAAUAAAACUCUUUUAAAAAUAAAGUUUGAUCUUUAUGGUUCAAAGUUAAAAAAAGGUAUGUUCCAACGUUCUAAAAUCAGUUAGGAGUAAUUUUAAUAAAUAAAGAAUAUUUUUUUUAAAAUAAAGAAAUCUGAAACUAUGAAGUAGUUUUCACUGUUUUUCACCACUUUCCUUCUCUUUCUGCAGGCAUAUGUAUAAGUUGCUCCAUUUCCAUCUAUUUCCAGAUAGCUACCUAUGAAGUGACACUCACUAGUACAUAAGUAGACCCAGAUACCGCCAUGGCAUCAAACAAGAAUUGCAUGCAAGAAAGAAUAAAUGCUGCUUAAGCCAUCCUGGUAUAGCAAUUGAGAUUUGUAAAUGAAAUGAUGAUGACCAAGAAAUAAGGCAAUAGUGAGAGAGAUAGAGCAGAUUGUGAAUACCAUAGGAGCGUCCACUAAGCAUGAAAGAACGUAUGCAUCUUUGAAAGCAGCGGAAUAUAGAGAACCCUUAGAAACUUCCCAUCCUAGCAGGCAGCCUCAUCCUUGUUCUUGAGCUUAGAAUUCCAGUUUCCGUUCAUGGUGUGACCAGAGAUGGGUUCAUCCGAACUCAGUAGCUUUGACUCGAACCUUGCAUGAGUUUAAAAGUUCACUAAUAAGAACAAAUAAUUCAUCUUCAACACAGUAAAUCAAAUGAGUUGUGGUAAAAUCUCGAACUCGAACCCACAAAGUUCAAAUCCUAGAUCUGCUAUGCACUUAGAUGUGUUAUGGUAACGCAAAAGAGAAGCUAACCACGACAUGGCUGCAAAACACCAAUUACACGAGUGAGAAGAGUCUAAAUCACAGGCCAUACAGGGAUGCCACGCCAAGAUACGGGUUGGGUAAUCUCAAUGCCAGAACUAGAUAUAGCCCAGAUACCAAAAAAAAAGCCAUAAUCAUUGCCUCUUUCAUGAGCUUUCAAAGCCACGAGGAGACCAUGCCAGAACUAGAUAUAGCCCAGAUACAAAAAAAAAAAGCCAUAAUCAUUGCCUCUUUCAUGAGCUUUCAAAGCCAUGAGGAGCCAGUCUGAAGAUCUGAAGGUGUGUUGAGCGUUGAGUACACAAAGGGUGCAAAAACACAAAUUAAAAGAUCAUCAUCACUGUCUCAUUAGCCCGGAUUCAUUAGCCCAGAUACUGAAAAAAUCGUCACUCUCAUUAUCUAAAGGCCACGUAGUUGUUGUAUAGUCCGUGAGAGUAGAAAUUAAAAGGGUGCAAAAAUGCAAGGAAACCCAGAUACCGAAGUGCUAUUAUAUGUCUCUAUUUCUCUUUCGUUUUGAAGGGUUGUUGGUUUGUUGGGCAACCACCCUUGAAAGAAAUCCCACACUAUUCUGCCUCAUUCUCGCCGUUUCUGCGCUAAUUUAUAAAUUAAUUUAGAUGAGAGCUUUUAACCGAGGAGACCUCACAAUUCUGCUUUUAAGAGAAUUUCUCAACUUCAAAUGAAUAUUGUCCAAACUCCUACUAAUGUUUUCAGCAAAUUGAGGCUCAGACGCGUAUAAUGACAAGGUAAAACAGAAGACAGCCACGCCAUGACUGCAAAACACCAGUUGCACGAGAGAGGAGUUCUCAAUCACAGGCAUACCGGGUUGCCACACCAAGAUACGGGUCGGGUCAUCUCAAUGCUCAAUUAUCAGCCCAAAAAUAGAAAGAUUCAUAAGCAUCAUCACAGCCCAUUUCUGUUGUAGAAUGCAUUAUAAUGGAACACUUUAAAGUUUCCAUUUACAAUGAACAAAAGAGUACCCAGUUUUAGAAAGAUUCAUAAGCAUCAUCACAGCCCAUUUCUGUUGUAGAAUGCAUUAUAAUGGAACACUUUAAAGUUUCCAUUUACAAUGAACAAUGAGAGUACUCUGAAAGAAACAUGCAAAGGGCCAUGAGCAGAAAGACUGAAGAUCUGAAGGCAUGUACUUGUGGUGAUACACUUGUAUAUUGGGGAAAUGUCACAAAUAGUCAUCUAGAAAACCAGAAACUGAAGUGCUAUGUUUUUCUUUCCGUCUCUUAAGGGCUGCUGGUUAGUUGAGAAGGGGGAGAAUCAUAGACAAAGCAGAGAGAAGCAACCACCCUAAGAGAUCCCAUAUUCUCUGUUGCCCCAUUCUCGCCAUUUUUUGGGCUAAUCCAACAAGAGAACUUUUAACCGAAAGCACCUGUAAGUCUGCAUUAAGAAUCUAACCAUACCUUUUUCAUCAAAAGGGAAAGUAGUUUUUACUUUUUUUCACCAUUGUCCUUCUCUUCCUUCAGGAUGUUAUUUUCAUCUAUUUUUAGAUAUCUAUCUAUGAAGUGACAAGACAAGAGGGGUUGCUCUGAUGGUAAGCAACCCCCACUUCCAACCGAGAGGUUGUGANNNNNNNNNNNNNNNNNNNNNNNNNNNNNNNNNNNNNNNNNNNNNNNNNNNNNNNNNNNNNNNNNNNNNNNCUUCCAACCGAGAGGUUGUGAGUUCGAGUCUCCCCAAGAGCAAGGUGGGAAGUUCUUGGAGGGAAGGAUGCCGGGGGUCUAUUUGGAAACAGACUUUCUACCCCAGGGUAGGGGUAAGGUCUGCGUACACACUACCCUCCCCAGACCACAUUAAGUGGGAUUAUACUGGGUUAUUGUUGUUGUAUCUAUGAAGUGACACUCAUGAGUACAUAAGUCGGCUCAGAUUUGUCAUAAAAUUAGGUGAAGGAAAGGGACACCACAAUGGCAUGCAAACAAGGAUGGCAUGCUACAAAGGAAAGACUCUGCUUACAAUAUCCUGGUUUACCCCCCAGGAUGAGUCCAGCAGACCCAAACCCAAUGAAGUCAAGAAACUUUAUCAUCAUGGCCUACAGUAAGAAACAUCAAUAAUGCGCAUGGUGAUUGAGAUUUGUUAAAAGGAAAAGAUGUGGACCAAGAAAGAAGAAGCGCAUAGUGUGAAAAAUAUGGCAGAUAGUGCAGCCUACAGUAAGAAACAGCAAUAAUGCAUAUAGUGAUUGAGAUUUGUUAAAAGGAAAAGAUGUGGACCAAGAAAGAAGAAGCGCAUAGUGUGAAAAAUAUGGCAGAUAGAGAAAAACCAUUAGAGCACUAGCUAAGCAUGAAAGAAGGGUGCUGCUUUGUCAGUUGCAGAAUACAGAGUUAUCACAGGCAUGCUGAUCGGAGGCAACACCCUUACAAACUUUACAUCCAUAAGACCAGAGCACCUAUAAAAAAAAAGAAAAAAAACAAGAAAGAGGAUCAGAGAGGAUGAAAGGUGAGGCUAUGAAGGCAAAAUCUCAAAAGUCAUUUAAUAACCAAGUGAGUACAUUAUCAUUCCUAAGAAAUUUUUUGUUAUCAUAUAGGAGUACUUUUUAAUAAAGGUUAUAUCUUAUUAUCAUAGGCAUUUUAAAUAUAAUCCGGUUGUCUUAUUAUUUCAUAAUAUAUAUUCUUAACAUUGAGAAUCAGUUCUAUGUUAUCAUCAGGCAAAGAGAUAAAAGCCAUGCCAUGGAUGCAAAACAAUGGUUGUUUGCAAGAGAGAAGAUUCUCAAUCACAAGCCAUAUUGGAUGCCAAGUCAAAAUAUGGAUAGGUGGUUUUCAUGAAAAUUGAUUAAGCACAGAAAAGAAAGAAGUAGAAGUAUCAUCAUAAUCCCUUUCAUAUCUAACAAAUGCUAGAAAACAUUUUCCAUGAAAAAAUGACUCCCCUCAAACUAUGCACACUACAAGAAGCAGAAUAACACUAAAUCAAAGUGGUUUUACACCCAAUUACACAGGAAAUUUACAAACAUAAGGAGGUUGCAGUUAGGUUUUACACCCAAUUACACAGGAUAUUUACAAACAUAAGGAGGUUGCAGUUAGUUGGUGAUGCUAUAAGCUUAAAAACCUUGAACAAAGAAUUCAGCAGAAAAAAUAAGAAGAGAUAUCAUCUGAUGAAAAAGUGAAUUCCGUCAAUGAUUUUCCCAGUAUAACAGUUUACAGUUCUACUGAAAGGGGCUGUUAUAUACAGAGAAUUUUUUUUUAGAAAUUUUGAGUUUUGAAUUCUAACCAGUACAAAACAAUAUAAAACAUUAUUUUUUUACCUUGUGUGUGCAAAGAGCAGAAUCAUUCACCAGUAGCCCAGCUGUUUCUUUGUAGACUGCAACAAAGUCUACGAAGCCAAACACCGAAACACGCUUUUUUUAAGCCCAUCCAAACAUCCUCUUAAAAAAUGCGCUAAAAAGCUACUUAAAUUCAGCUAAUCCAAGCAUGCUUUUACUUCAAUUUUGAUGCUCAAAUCUGUGAUAAAAUCAGUCAAUGUAGAAAUGCAACCGCCAUGGCUGCAGACCCGGUUGCAACCAUGCCUUCCAGGUCGCCCAGCCAGGAUACGGGCUGCUCCAAAGCCGGACCAACUCUGGACACCUUUCGACAUUUCAUCACAGCCUCAUCCCCCAGAAGAUCAUUUGUGUCAUGGAAAGGCAAAAGAGAAGCCAACCAUGCCAUGGCUGCAAAACAUUGAACACCGUUUGCAUGUGUGAGAGAAGACUCUCAUUCACAGGCCAUACCAGGCUGCUACACCAAGAUACUGGUCAGGUAAUCUCCAUGCCCCAAUUAGUUAGCCCAGAAAUAGAAAAGAAUCAUCAUCAUCUCUGCCUCUUUUAAGAUAUGAAAGUCACAUAGUUGUUGUGUAGUAUAGUUGUGAAUAUUGGGUCUUUGAGUUCCAUUACGGGUGUAAAAGUGCAGAUAAACCCACAAACUCAAGUACUCUUUCUCUUUCUUCUUUCUUUUUAAGGGCGGUUGGUUUGUUUAAAAAAGGAGAAUCAUAGGCAAAGCAGAGAGGGGGCAACCACCCUUGUAAAAAAAUCAUGUACUCUCUGUUACCUCAUUCUCGCCAUUUCUAUACUAAUAUAGAAGGUUUUCGAGAAAAUGAUCAAAAUAGUUCUUAGUGUAUGGGUUGGACUACUAUUUUGGUCCACAAUGUACACCCUUAACAGAAUUAAUCCUUGAAGAAUGUAAAACGUGUAAACUUUUAAUUCACAACAGUUUUCUUCAACACUUCAGUUAAACUUAACUGGGUAACAGAUGCAGUAAUUGCUUCAAUUUUGAGGCUCAGAUCUGAGAAUAUAGUCAGGCAAAGGAAACAAAGCAACCGCCAUGGCUGCAGCCCUCUAUCAAACAGGCCUUCGGGGUUGCCCCGCCAAGAUACGGGUCGCUCCAAUGCCCAACACAACUCUAGACACCUUUAAUCAUCACAGCCUCUUCAUCCGUCGCAUUAAAUGCUCUUAGGUAAUAUGUUCUGCUUAUUCUCAAACACCAAAAAUAAGUGUUUUUCAGGAAACAUUUUCCUUCAUACCAAAUACACCCAAAAUUUAUCUUCAGCAAAUUGAGGCUCAGAUUUGUUGUUAUGACAAGGCAAAAGAGAAGCCAACCACGCCAUGGCUGCAACACCAAUUGCAUGUGCGAGAGAAGAGUCCCAACUCUCAAUCACAAACCACACCGACUUGCCACGCCAAGAUACGGAUUGGGUCAUCUCAAUGCCAAAUCAGUUAGCCCAGAUAUAAUAAAAAACAUCAUCACUGCCUCUUUAAGAUCUGGAGGUAGCAUAGUUGUUGCAGUAUAGUUGUAUGUAUUGGGUUUUGAGUAUGCAUUUAGGGUGCAAAAAAUGCAAAGAAACCCAGGAAACUGAAGUGCUAUCAUCUCUUUCUCUUUUUUCUAUUUUAAGGGCUGUUGGUUUGUUUUUAAAAGUUGGAGAAUCACAGCCAAAGCAGAGACGGGCAACCACCCUUGUAAAAAAAAUCCCAUACACUCUGUUGACUCAUUCUCUUCAUUUCUGGGCUAAUCCAGUUCAAAUGGAGGGUAAUAUAGCAGGUUUUCCAGAAAAUAAUCAAAUAGUCCAAGUUACCCAAGAGCAAGGCGGGAAGUUCAUGGAGGGAAGGAUGCCGAGCGUCUAUGGGAAAAAGCCUCUCUACCCAGGUAGGGGCAAGGUUUGCGUAUACGCUACACUCCCAGACCCACUAAGUGGGACUAUACUAGGUGGUUGUUGUUGUUGUCCGUACAGUACGUAUGAAGCGUACACUUCUCUUGAGAAAAAUGAUCCGUCAUCUUUGAGGAGGUUUAUUAUGGUCCUUUAAUAUACACAAAAAACCUAAAAUUUUUGGUCUCCGUCCCUUUUUUAAAAGGGGAAAGGGCCAAAUGAACCCCUCAAUUUUGAGGCUCAAAUCGGUGAUAAAAUCAGGGCAAAGAAGACAAAGCAACCGCCAGGGCUGCAAACCUCGGUCGCACUAUAAAAAAAAAGGCCUUUCCGGGUCACCCCACCAAGAUACGGGCCGCUCCAUUGCCCCGACGCGAACUCUAGAUAACCUUAAUCAUCACAGCCUCAUCCAUUAUAAUAACAAUAAGAAUAAUGGUAAUAAUAGACUAACUAGUAUACCAUCACAACAUCCAACUUUUAUCACAUCGGAAUCGUACAUCAUUUUGACAUUCAUAAUUAUAUGGAAAUAAAUAUGAAGAUGGUAGCUGGCAUUUAAGAAAAAGAAAAAAGCAAGCACUUAAUCAAGGGCUUACCAGAAGGGGAUUGCCGGACCACAAGGGAUCGUAUGCAGUCUUACCCUACAUUUCUGCAAGAGGUUGUUUCUAUCGCUCGAACCCCCGACCUCCUGGUCAUAUGGAGGCAACUUUACCAGUUUGCUUUUGUCAUAAACAAAGGGGUGUUGGUUUUUUUGAUAAUGGAGGAAAAUCAAUGGCGGAACAGAGAGGGGCAACCAUCCCUUCAAUGAAAAUCUCAAAACUCUCUGUUUUGCCUCAUUUCUUUCUAGGCUAACCUUUUUGCAAUUCUAGAAGAAAUUCUCGUGGGUUUUUCACCCGCAAAUUUCAAAAUUUAACGGAAAAGAGCUCAUAAGUCUGCAUUUAAGAAAAUAAC
rnacentral:lncRNA from 1 species